UAUCAACGUACAGUCACAUCGACGUUAACAAAAACUCGAUUUCUCACAAGUGCUUCUGAGUAUGUGUAUUCCUUUAUAUAAAGCUACGAAGGAAUGCAUAGUGGAAGCGUGUGCUAGUGAUAGCACAACUGAACAUUGAUCGCUACCGUCAAAAAUCAGCAGAUCUGCUCAGUAAAGUGUUAUCACAACUUUGUCGUAAGCUUCUAGUAGCUGUGUUGUACUCCCGUUGCGCGUGCACUCCGUGGCUCGCUUGACGAACACGGAUGUGCACGCCUGCACGGUUCGAAGUCGUCACAUCGCUCCUCGAAGUACCGCGAUUUCCAAAUUGGGGGGUAAUCGAAUAGGUCAGACGAGGCCUCAAUUUUCUGCAUCUCAUUAUUGAUUUCAGAAGAAAUUUGUGUAAAAAGCAGAUUCCAAUUCCAAACUUCAUCCAGUUCUUUUACCACGUUUUCAUUGUACAGUUUGUCUGCAAGAAGAGAUAAGCUGACACCAUCUAAUGAUGAGCACUUGCAAUCUCAGAUGAAAUAUUAUCUUCUUGAAUUUCAUCCAAAUCUGGUAUAACAGGAAUAUCUAUAAACACAAUAAUAAAGU